GUCUACGGCCAUACCACCCUGAACACGCCCAAUCUCGUCUGAUCUCUGAAGCCAAGCAGGGUCGGGCCUGGUUAGUACUUGGGUGGGAGACCGCCUGGGAAUUCCAGGUGCCAUAGGCG
ensembl:rRNA 5S_rRNA 5S ribosomal RNA